AUAAGGUAGCAUGCUGUCGGUGACCUGCGGCAGGAUCAUUA
rnacentral:rRNA from 1 species